rnacentral:sRNA from 1 species
ACUCAACACUAACAAAUUAAAGUGAGUGAAUCUUCGCUACUAUAGUAUGCCCUGCUUCGGCAAGGAAACUUGAACAGUGAGUUAGCUCAAAACUUGUCUUUACGAGUUU